CCAUCCAACAGCCGACUCACAAAAACUCCAACCCGGCCCAUUUCUCCACCUUUCCCCUUUAUCCGUACAGCGUACGAUGACAACAAUAACAACGACGACGACAACUUCAACGAAAUCGAUGUCGAACAACACUCAAACCACCAGAUAAUGGAAUGUCUGAUGGUUUUCACCUCUCCCCGUCUGUCUUCCCUUGUCACUCACGAUUUUCAGCCCAUCUCUAUAAAUAUCACCUCAAUUCCUUUCUAAAAAGGAAAGAAUAUAUAGGUUCAAUGGUUCUUGAAGUAUUUUUUCUUUGAAUCAGUGGACAAAUAGUUGUUCACCUUGAAGAACUCAAAUUGUAAAAUCCAAAAUCUCAAUAUUUCAAAUUUAUUCUGAAAAGGUGAUUUUCUUUUCCUCAAUACUGUAAAUCGUCACUCAAAUUUGAAUUUUGAAAGGCUUUAAAGAGAAGUCAGCCAGCCCAAUUUUGCCUAUAAAAAGAGGUUUUGUUCACCCUUCUAAAACAAGGUUAAGGGAUAGAGAAAUUGGGGAAUAUCUUGUGUUUUUAUCUUACUCUCCCAUUCACUAAAUUCUCUAUUUUCUUUAGUUUACUCCCGAUGUUCUCCUUGUUUCCUUUUCGUCGUCCGAACGCGGAGUCAAGGUUAGUGGAAACUAGUUGCCGUCCACUCCUCAUCUAGGUUCGCUGCUUCAAAAAAGAACUCCCAUUUCUUGCAUUCGAUUGGGCUAAACUCAACCUUGAUCGAGUCAAGCCUUAUCAAAAUUCAAAAGGUGGACUGGUAUACAAGAACCAACAUUGGUAUACAGCCUGUUAUACAAUUAUAUGCCGCUGGUAUACAUCGGACACAGUAGCUGAAUAAAAAAUGGAGGGAAAAUACGCAGGUAUCCACGCUGAUAUACACUGUAACUCAGUGGUAUACCAAAAAAUGCAGGGAAAGGAGCUGCCGGCAUACAGCUAAUAUACAUAGAAAAUGGACUGAAGAUCUAUGAAAUUUAGGCCCAAAAGCUGGUUAGCCCUUUAGUGGGCCAAAAGGGCCCAAUCCAAACUCUUCUUUAUCUAUAUUCCAUUUUAAUUUAUCUAGUUGUAUUUACUUGAACACUUAGGUUAAUUAAUCAAGAUAAAUUUCUCAA